AUUGAACGCUGGCGGCAGGCUUAACACAUGCAAGUCGAGCGGGGGAAGGUAGCUUGCUACCGGACCUAGCGGCGGACGGGUGGGUAAUGCUUAGGAAUCUGCCUAUUAGUGGGGGACAACAUCUCGAAAGGGAUGCUAAUACCGCAUACGUCCUACGGGAGAAAGCAGGGGAUCUUCGGACCUUGCGCUAAUAGAUGAGCCUAAGUCGGAUUAGCUAGUUGGUGGGGUAAAGGCCUACCAAGGCGACGAUCUGUAGCGGGUCUGAGAGGAUGAUCCGCCACACUGGGACUGAGACACGGCCCAGACUCCUACGGGAGGCAGCAGUGGGGAAUAUUGGACAAUGGGGGGAACCCUGAUCCAGCCAUGCCGCGUGUGUGAAGAAGGCCUUAUGGUUGUAAAGCACUUUAAGCGAGGAGGAGGCUACUUUAGUUAAUACCUAGAGAUAGUGGACGUUACUCGCAGAAUAAGCACCGGCUAACUCUGUGCCAGCAGCCGCGGUAAUACAGAGGGUGCGAGCGUUAAUCGGAUUUACUGGGCGUAAAGCGUGCGUAGGCGGCUUAUUAAGUCGGAUGUGAAAUCCCCGAGCUUAACUUGGGAAUUGCAUUCGAUACUGGUGAGCUAGAGUAUGGGAGAGGAUGGUAGAAUUCCAGGUGUAGCGGUGAAAUGCGUAGAGAUCUGGAGGAAUACCGAUGGCGAAGGCAGCCAUCUGGCCUAAUACUGACGCUGAGGUACGAAAGCAUGGGGGAGCAAACAGGAUUAGAUACCCUGGUAGUCCAUGCCGUAAACGAUGUCUACUAGCCGUUGGGGCCUUUGAGGCUUUAGUGGCGCAGCUAACGCGAUAAGU
rnacentral:rRNA from 1 species